rnacentral:rRNA from 1 species
GACGAACGCUGGCGGCGUGCUUAACACAUGCAAGUCGAACGGAAAGGCCCUGCUUUUGUGGGGUGCUCGAGUGGCGAACGGGUUAGUAACACGUGAGUAACCUGCCCUUGACUUUGGGAUAACUUCAGGAAACUGGGGCUAAUACCUGAUAUGAGCUCCUGCUGCAUGGUGGGGGUUGGAAAGUUUCGGCGGUUGGGGAUGGACUCGCGGCUUAUCAGCUUGUUGGUGGGGUAGUGGCUUACCAAGGCUUUGACGGGUAGCCGGCCUGAGAGGGUGACCGGCCACAUUGGGACUGAGAUACGGCCCAGACUCCUACGGGAGGCAGCAGUGGGGAAUAUUGCACAAUGGGCGGAAGCCUGAUGCAGCAACGCCGCGUGCGGGAUGACGGCCUUCGGGUUGUAAACCGCUUUCGCCUGUGACGAGGCGUGAGUGACGGUAAUGGGUAAAGAAGCACCGGCUAACUACGUG